rnacentral:rRNA from 1 species
AACGCGAAGAACCUUACCAGCCCUUGACAUCCCGGUCGCGGACUCCAGAGACGGAGUUCUUCAGUUCGGCUGGACCGGAGACAGGUGCUGCAUGGCUGUCGUCAGCUCGUGUCGUGAGAUGUUGGGUUAAGUCCCGCAACGAGCGCAACCCCCGUCCUUAGUUGCUACCAUUCAGUUGAGCACUCUAAGGAGACUGCCGGUGAUAAGCCGCGAGGAAGGUGGGGAUGACGUCAAGUCCUCAUGGCCCUUACGGGCUGGGCUACACACGUGCUACAAUGGCGGUGACAAUGGGACGCUAAGGGGCAACCCUUCGCAAAUCUCAAAAAGCCGUCUCAGUUCGGAUUGGGCUCUGCAACUCGAGCCCAUGAAGUUGGAAUCGCUAGUAAUCGUGGAUCAGCACGCCACGGUGAAUACGUUCCCGGGCCUUGUA